GGGCGUAUAGCUCAGCUGGGAGAGCGCCUCGUUCGCAACGAGGAGGUCAGGGGUUCGAACCCCCUUACGUCCACCA
rnacentral:tRNA from 1 species